CGGACCGGCGCACGGGUGAGUAACGCGUAUGCGACCUGCCCGUUGCAGGGGGGAUAAUCGGGAGAAAUCCCGUCUAAUACCGCGUAACGCCGCGGGGCUGCAUGGCCCUGCGGCCAAAGGGAGCGAUUCCGGCAACGGAUGGGCAUGCGUGACAUUAGCUAGUUGGCGGGGCAACGGCCCACCAAGGCGACGAUGUCUAGGGGUUCUGAGAGGAAGGUCCCCCACACUGGUACUGAGACACGGACCAGACUCCUACGGAAGGCAGCAG
rnacentral:rRNA from 1 species